rnacentral:rRNA from 1 species
AACGAACGCUGGCGGCAGGCUUAACACAUGCAAGUCGAGCGCCCCGCAAGGGGAGCGGCAGACGGGUGAGUAACGCGUGGGAACGUACCCUUCGGUUCGGAACAACUCAGGGAAACUUGGGCUAAUACCGGAUACGUCCGUGAGGAGAAAGAUUUAUCGCCGAAGGAUCGGCCCGCGUUGGAUUAGCUAGUUGGUGGGGUAAUGGCCUACCAAGGCGACGAUCCAUAGCUGGUCUGAGAGGAUGAUCAGCCACACUGGGACUGAGACACGGCCCAGACUCCUACGGGAGGCAGCAGUGGGGAAUAUUGGACAAUGGGCGAAAGCCUGAUCCAGCCAUGCCGCGUGAGUGAUGAAGGCCCUAGGGUUGUAAAGCUCUUUCAGUGGGGAAGAUAAUGACGGUACCCACAGAAGAAGCCCCGGCUAACUUCGUG